AAUUACCAAAAAAGAAAAGCGCUGCUGUUAAGCUGCCGUGACACUUUAUCAAAUUGUGUUUUUAAGACACAGCUCAAUUUCAGAGCUGCUGAAAUAUCAAAAAGUACAUAUUAGAAUUAAUGAAAUAUGUAUACUGCAGCAUUCCCAUCAGCCUAAAGAAACAGGCAAUACAAAUUGUUUGGAAUUUUAGACCACGAUACUUGCCAGCUUUGGCAAAAAGGAUUGUGGUCUAAAGAAACAAAUUAGGUUUGUUAUCAAGGGCACUAUAGAUGAAUGUAGCUUUUUAUCCAAAUCUGGUUUUCAAAAAUUGGACUUUAAAGGUGUGUCUGUAUGAUCACUCAAAUAUAAUUCAGGCAUAAGUUGUUUUUAUAUUCAUAAUUUAGUAAUCAAUGUAAGUUAUCUUAAAUAUUUCCUUCUUUAAAAUCAAAUCUACAAUGAGGUAGAUAGUCCUUUGGUGUCAGAGCAUUUCCAUGUAACAGCCUUUUAAGAAAACAUGAGAUGGUUUGGGGCAAGGGCAUUACAAAUGAAACUCAAUUCAAACUGCUUAAUUUAGACCUGGGUCACUGCAGAAUAUUUGUUCUAUAUCACUGAGUUUAUUGAGAACAUCCUAUCUUUCAAAUAGGACCCUUCUCUGCCUUAGAUGCAUUAAAAAAAUCAUCUCCGUGCAACUCUGAGGUGUUCCUAGGACUCAUUUUAUAGACAAGGAAACCAUGGGUUAGUUCAAAGUCACACAGCUAGCACAUGGCAUAUGGAGCUGAGAUUUGUACUGGGCAGAGUCUUGGACUGACAAAGAGUGGUGAACUCCUAGUUCUAUGACUUUCCUGGGUUCCGCUUUCCUCUUUUGUGAAAUGAAAAGAUAAGACCUGCUUUCUAGCCGAGAAAUGCGAUGACUCUAAAUCUGAAAUUGAGUCAGCAGCUGAGGAGGGUGUACUCACGGGGAUGGGCAGAGCAGUGGCAGUGCUCAAAAGGCCAGCCAAGAUGAGAAAUUUCAUUCUAAAGGUCGAGCCUGGAAUUGAAGGGGUAGGAGAUCAUUUCGAGUUUUUUUCUAUGUAAGUCCUAUUCCUAUUUAGAGGUGUUGAAAUAGUGGUCAAGAUAAAUCCUGCCUCCAAACAUAGGUUUUGUAAGCCUACAAGAGUGUUUUUAAAAGCUUUGAAUUCCUUAGACAAGACAUGCACUGUUUAGCUCCCAACAUAGCCCAUUACUUUCUACUUUCUUAUAAAGUUACAGUUCGGCCUAUACACUGUACAUGUUUGGUCCCUGAAGUUGCGUUUGUGAUCUCUACACACAAAUCUUUUUUUUUUUUUUUUUUUUUUUUGAGACAGGGUCUUGCUCUGUCACUCAGGCUGGAGUGCAGUGGCACAAUCAUAGCCUCCUGUACCCUCGAACUGCUGGGCUCAAGUGAUCCUUCUGCCUCAGUCUCCCAAGGAGCUAGGACUACAGGUGUGCACCACCACACUUGGCUAAUUUUAAAAAAAUUUUCUUAGAGAUGGGGUCUUGCUAUGUUGCCCCCCUGUUGCAAGGAUGGUCUUGAACUUCUGGCCUCAAUCAACCUUCCCACCACAGCCUUCCAAAGUGCUGGGAUUACAGGUGUGAGCCACUGUGCUCAAUUCUACUCACAAAUCUUUAAACACCAGUGUUACAUCAUGCUUAUUAUUAGUAAUUGAUCACUACUGGCUAAAAUGAGAGGAAAGUUUUUAUGUAAUACACAAAUAAAUCCACCUGAAGCUUGUACCUCUGUGAGACUUACCAGGCCUUCAUAUAGUCUGGUUGCUGUUAUUGCCAGUUAUAGUUCUCGGGAAGGAAAUUGUAUGGGAAAAAUUUUGUAAGAUGUAAUGGGUUGGUAGAAAAUCAGCACAAUAUGAGUAAAUUCAGAUUCAAUAAAGGAAAUCAACUGGCCUUUUAUUGGUCCAUUGGUUCUGAAAGGAGACAUUUUUAUGUUUUAAAAAUCGCACUUAAUUCAAAUUAACUUACCUUGUGAGUUUCAAACCAAAUCACUGUAUUCUGGAAUUGGAUUUUGAAAGAAAAACAACUUUAUCAUGUUAUUAUUAAGACUUAUCUCCAGCAUUUGAGGCAAGUUAUAUCUAUAAAUCACACUUCAUCUGUUAUAUAUAUCUAAAACCCAACUCUGAUUUCAAUCUUAGUGCUACUUUGCCUGAAUUUAGGCAACUUAUUUCCCUUUUCCUUUUUCAUGUUUUUUCUUUGUAUUUUUCUUCUUUCUGGAUUCAAACACUAAUUUCUUUCUUCUUAUUAGAAGUGGACCUGUUAGAAAUCAUUAAAUUACCCAAUACAAGAAUAUGUUACAUUCUUUUAUCUAGUGCAUUAGAAUCAGUCCAAAUUAUACUAUAUAUCUCUUCAAUUACCUUUGCUUCAGUGGCCCUUGGAGCAACAAAUUCAAGGAGCAGUG
rnacentral:lncRNA from 1 species